rnacentral:tRNA from 1 species
ACCCCAAUAGCUCAGUUGGGAGAGUUAGACUAUAGAUCGAAAGGUCCUUGGUUCGAUCCGGGAUUCGGCA